UACGGGGGGGGCAAGCGUUGUUCGGAAUUACUGGGCGUAAAGGGCUUGUAGGUGGCCAACUAAGUCAGACGUGAAAUCCCUCGGCUUAACCGGGAGAUCUGCGUAUACUGGAUGGCUGGAGUGUGGGAGAGGGAUGCGGAAUUCCAGGUGUAGCGGUGAAAUGCGUAGAUAUCUGGAGGAACACCGGUGGCGAAGGCGGCAUCCUGGGACCAUUACUGACACUGAAAAGCGAAAGCCAGGGGAGCAAACGGG
rnacentral:rRNA from 1 species